UGUCCCACCUAUGGUGUCACUGAGGGGUGU
rnacentral:piRNA from 1 species